rnacentral:tRNA from 1 species
CAUAAAAUGGCCGAGGUAGAGGCGAAAGAUUGUAGCUCUUUUAACGGAUUUGUCCUUUUGUGA